rnacentral:rRNA from 1 species
UACGUAGGGUGCAAGCGUUGUCCGGAAUUAUUGGGCGUAAAGAGCUCGUAGGCGGUUUGUCGCGUCGGCUGUGAAAUCUCGGGGCUUAACCCCGAGCCUGCAGUCGAUACGGGCAGACUUGAGUUCGGUAGGGGAGACUGGAAUUCCUGGUGUAGCGGUGAAAUGCGCAGAUAUCAGGAGGAACACCGGUGGCGAAGGCGGGUCUCUGGGCCGAUACUGACGCUGAGGAGCGAAAGCGUGGGGAGCGAACAGG